AUUGAACGCUGGCGGCAGGCCUAACACAUGCAAGUCGAACGGUAGCACAGAGAGCUUGCUCUCGGGUGACGAGUGGCGGACGGGUGAGUAACGUCUGGGAAACUGCCCGAUGGAGGGGGAUAACUACUGGAAACGGUAGCUAAUACCGCAUAACGUCGCAAGACCAAAGUGGGGGACCUUCGGCCUCACACCAUCGGAUGUGCCCAGAUGGGAUUAGCUAGUAGGUGGGGUAAUGGCUCACCUAGGCGACGAUCCCGAGCUGGUCUGAGAGGGUGACCAGCCACACUGGAACAGAGACACGGUCCAGACUCCUACGGGAGGCAGCAGUGGGGAAUAUUGCACAAUGGGCGCAAGCCUGAUGCAGCCAUGCCGCGUGUAUGAAGAAGGCCUUCGGGUUGUAAAGUACUUUCAGCGGGGAGGAAGGCGGUGAAGUUAAUAGCUUCACCGAUUGACGUUACCCGCAGAAGAAGCACCGGCUAACUCCGUGCCAGCCGCCGCGGUAA
rnacentral:rRNA from 1 species